UACAGAGGGGGCAAGCGUUGUUCGGAUUUACUGGGCGUAAAGGGCGCGUAGGCGGCGCGGUAAGUCACUUGUGAAAUCUCUGAGCUUAACUCAGAACGGCCAAGUGAUACUGCAGUGCUAGAGUGCAGAAGGGGCAAUCGGAAUUCUUGGUGUAGCGGUGAAAUGCGUAGAUAUCAAGAGGAACACCUGAGGUGAAGACGGGUUGCUGGGCUGACACUGACGCUGAGGCGCGAAAGCCAGGGGAGCAAACGGG
rnacentral:rRNA from 1 species